AACGCUAGCUACAGGCUUAACACAUGCAAGUCGAGGGGAAACGACAUCGAAAGCUUGCUUUUGAUGGGCGUCGACCGGCGCACGGGUGAGUAACGCGUAUCCAACCUGCCCAUCACUUGGGGAUAACCUUGCGAAAGUAAGACUAAUACCCAAUGAUAUCUCUAGAAGACAUCUGAAAGGGAUUAAAGAUUUAUCGGUUAUGGAUGGGGAUGCGUCUGAUUAGCUUGUUGGCGGGGUAACGGCCCACCAAGGCAACGAUCAGUAGGGGUUCUGAGAGGAAGGUCCCCCACAUUGGAACUGAGACACGGUCCAAACUCCUACGGGAGGCAGCAGUGAGGAAUAUUGGUCAAUGGGCGAGAGCCUGAACCAGCCAAGUAGCGUGCAGGAUGACGGCCCUAUGGGUUGUAAACUGCUUUUAUACAGGAAUAAAGUUAGCCACGUGUGGUUAUUUGUAGGUACUGUAUGAAUAAGGACCGGCUAAUUCCGUGCCAGCAGCCGCGGUAAUACGGAAGGUCCAGGCGUUAUCCGGAUUUAUUGGGUUUAAAGGGAGCGUAGGCCGUCUGUUAAGCGUGUUGUGAAAUGUAGAUGCUCAACAUCUGAAUUGCAGCGCGAACUGGCAGACUUGAGUGUGCGCAACGUAGGCGGAAUUCGUGGUGUAGCGGUGAAAUGCUUAGAUAUCACGAAGAACUCCGAUUG
rnacentral:rRNA from 1 species